CCCCUCUCAGGGUCACACCAGGAGAGUUUCCAGUACUCUACCAGUUUUGGCUAUGAGAGGGAGAGUCAAGCAGAAGCCUACCCAGUCCAUCCCUAGCUUGGGCCAUGGCUAGCGAGUGGAAGGCGAUCUGCUACAAGU
rfam:Ornithorhynchus anatinus chromosome 5, whole genome shotgun sequence.